rnacentral:sRNA from 1 species
UCGAUAGGAAGGCUAAAGUCACCGCGUCCUGCGGUAACGCAUGACCCACAUCCUGUGGG